GAUGAACGCUGGCGGCGUGCCUAAUACAUGCAAGUCGAGCGAAUGGAUUAAGAGCUUGCUCUUAUGAAGUUAGCGGCGGACGGGUGAGUAACACGUGGGUAACCUGCCCAUAAGACUGGGAUAACUCCGGGAAACCGGGGCUAAUACCGGAUAACAUUUUGAACCGCAUGGGUCGAAAUUGAAAGGCGGCUUCGGCUGUCACUUCUGGAUGGACCCGCGUCGCAUUAGCUAGUUGGUGAGGUAACGGCUCACCAAGGCAACGAUGCGUAGCCGACCUGAGAGGGUGAUCGGCCACCCUGGGACUGAGACACGGCCCAGACUCCUACGGGAGGCAGCAGUAGGGAAUCUUCCGCAAUGGACGAAAGUCUGACGGAGCAACGCCGCGUGAGUGAUGAAGGCUUUCGGGUCGUAAAACUCUGUUGUUAGGGAAGAACAAGUGCUAGUUGAAUAAGCUGGCACCUUGACGGUACCUAACCAGAAAGCCACGGCUAACUACGUGCCAGCCGCCGCAGUAA
rnacentral:rRNA from 1 species